CCUACGGGAGGCAGCAGUGGGGAAUAUUGGACAAUGGGGGAAACCCUGAUCCAGCGACGCCGCGUGAGUGAAGAAGUAUUUCGGUACGUAAAGCUCUAUCAGCAGGAAAGAAAAUGACGGUACCUGACUAAGAAGCCCCGGCUAACUACGUGCCAGCAGCCGCGGUAAUACGUAGGGGGCAAGCGUUAUCCGGAUUCACUGGGUGUAAAGGGAGCGUAGACGGCAGCGCAAGUCUGGAGUGAAAGGCCGGGGCUCAACCCCGGAACUGCACUGGAAACUGGUAAGCUGGAGUGCAGGAGAGGUAAGCGGAAUUCCUGGUGUAGCGGUGAAAUGCGUAGAUAUCAGGAGGAACACCGGCGGCGAAGGCGGCUUACUGGACUGUAACUGACGUUGAGGCUCGAAGGCGUGGGGAGCAAACAGGAUUAGAUACCCUGGUAGUC
rnacentral:rRNA from 1 species